rnacentral:rRNA from 1 species
GAUGAACGCUGGCGGCGUGCCUCAAACAUGCAAGUCGAGCGGGGCUAUGUAAUAUCGCAAGGUAGAACAUAGCCUAGCGGCGAACGGGUGAGUAACACGUGGGUAACCUGCCUGGAAGACAGGGAUAACGAUUCGAAAGGGUCGCUAAUACCUGAUAAUAUCCUUUCAUCGCAUGGUGAUAGGAAGAAGGGGAAACCCGCUUUCAGAUGGGCCCGCGUCCCAUCAGCUAGUUGGUAAGGUAAAGGCUUACCAAGGCGACGACGGGUAGCCGGUCUGAGAGGAUGUACGGCCACACUGGGACUGAGAUACGGCCCAGACUCCUACGGGAGGCAGCAGUUGGGAAUCUUAGGCAAUGGACGAAAGUCCUGACCUAGCGACGCCGCGUGAGGGAAGAAGGCCUUCGGGUUGUAAACCUCUGUCAUGGGGAAGAAGUAAGUGACGGUACCCCAAGAGGAAGCCCCUGCCGUAACUACGUGC